UGAGGAUGUAGAAUGCAGUUUGGAGAUGCUU
rnacentral:piRNA from 1 species